AAUUAAUUAAUUUACACAAUACACAAAUAGAGAGAGUAAAGAAAAUAUGUAACAUCUUUCCUCAGAUACGCCCACAAUUUCCAAGUCGUCACUAGUUAGUCAGUGUUGAAAAAAACCACUUUUUUAAAACAAACGUAACUCAUUGAAAGUAUGAGUUCCUUUUUUUGUGCGUCAGUCUACUUAUGUAAUCUUUAUAUGCUCAUACAAAAACACCCAUUUGUUGGAAAUACAAUCACUUCUUCUGCCUCACAAAUAUUUACACACCCAACUUAAACAAACUUAGCAUAACAAGUGCAAGUUACUUUUGUAUGAUAUUAGUGUAUCAACACCCUCAUCAAAGAAUAAUAAUUGAGUCAACUCGCUGCUAACUCGCUCAGUCAAUCAGAUCAAGACCCCGAAAGAAGAUGAUGAUCAACAUGCUUACAUGCAUGCACAAGAAAGUGAAUUUGAUCAUGAUGAUCAUGUGAGUGAGUUUAAUUUAAUUAGCUGUUGAUAAUUGACAUUAAUUAUAAGGUGUAAGUUUAAUUUUAUGUAUAGAUUUUGUGUUUAGAAUUGAUUAUUGGUAACUAGAAACUGUUCAUGUGAGAACUUUAGUUGGAUUAUGUGUACUAGAUUGGCUCCCUAUCUUAAUCAUUACAUACAUUGAUGAAGUAAAUUAAUGAAAUGCUUUUACAAUCUUUUUAUUUUA